GACGAACGCUGGCGGCGUGCUUAACACAUGCAAGUCGAACGGUGAAGCGCCUUCCUUUUUGGUGGGUGUGGAUGAGUGGCGAACGGGUGAGUAACACGUGAGUAACCUGCCCCCUUCUUCUGGAUAACCGCAUGAAAGUGUGGCUAAUACGGGAUAUUCUGGGUCUGUCGCAUGAUGGGUCUGGGAAAGAUAUUGUUUCGGUGGGGGAUGGGCUCGCGGCCUAUCAGCUUGUUGGUGGGGUGAUGGCCUACCAAGGCGGUGACGGGUAGCCGGCCUGAGAGGGUGGACGGACACACUGGGACUGAGACACGGCCCAGACUCCUACGGGAGGCAGCAGUGGGGAAUAUUGCACAAUGGGCGCAAGCCUGAUGCAGCGACGCCGCGUGAGGGAUGGAGGCCUUCGGGUUGUGAACCUCUUUCGCCAGUGAAGCAGGCCUGCCUCGUUUGUGGGUGGGUUGACAGUAGCUGGAGAAGAAGCGCCGGCUAACUACGUG
rnacentral:rRNA from 1 species